UACGAAGGGGGCUAGCGUUGCUCGGAAUCACUGGGCGUAAAGGGUGCGUAGGCGGGUUUUUAAGUCAGGGGUGAAAUCCUGGAGCUCAACUCCAGAACUGCCUUUGAUACUGAAGAUUUUGAGUCCGGGAGAGGUGAGUGGAACUGCGAGUGUAGAGGUGAAAUUCGUAGAUAUUCGCAAGAACACCAGUGGCGAAGGCGGCUCACUGGCCCGGUACUGACGCUGAGGUGCGAAAGCGUGGGGAGCAAACAGG
rnacentral:rRNA from 1 species